rnacentral:pre_miRNA from 1 species
CUCAUCAAACUUAGGGAGCCAUCGCGUAUUCUGUAAAAGAGGAGUUUAUUAACAUGUAUUUUUUUUACAGAAUACGCGAUGGCUCCCUAAGUUUAUUAACA